UUCCUUUCCAUUGUAUGCCUCACAGGCUUGAUCUGGCUCUGUUGUCAGUGCAAAAGGAAAACCCAAUGAUUGGGAAAGUUUACAACCUCAAUAUGGUUUGGAAAACAUACCAUUUCAGCAGCAAAUCCAUGAGGGAGCUGAGGGUCUUUGGGGAAGACCUAGGCAUAAGGGUGAAUUCCCCAAGUGGAGUAAAAGGAACGCGCUGGCUACCACAUGUGUCUAGAUCGCUGGAGACACUGUUAAAACUGGAGAGAGAGGAGGUUAUCUUCAGGACCCAGCACAGUUUACUGCAGUCUGUGUGCACAUGCACCACUUGGCCAGUGCAUCAGCAAACACAGACAUUGCUGGAAGGGCCAAAAAAAUCAAGAAGACUAUGGAGGAUGGAACUUUUGUAGCCUUCUGCCACUUUCUUGCUGAUGUUUUUUUCUGUGAUCAGUCAGUUUAGUUUACUUUUGCAAAGAAAUGAAGUCAUUCUACCCCAGGUAAUACUAUGUGUGAUACAAAUUAUAACUUAAUAAACAAUCAAAAAACCACCAUAUUAAUAACCUGAC